rnacentral:lncRNA from 1 species
AAGUAUAAUUCGAAAACAUAUAAAAAGAAUUUUUUUUUUACUUUUAAAUUUAUUUAUUUAUUUAUAUAAUUUUUUAUAAUAUAUAUAGAAAAUAAUGGUAUAAAAGUUUUUUACCACUUAAUGAAGACUAUAUUUUUGAAAAUGUUUCUUUAGUGUUGAUAAACAUGAAUAAUGAUAUCAGGAAAGAUCUAGUGGGGAACCCAUACAUAUAUGAAAUAUUGGUUCAAAUAUGAACAAAAUAUUUGUCAAAAAAAUAUGAACAAAAAUAACUAUAUUAUAUAUAACAUUUUAUAGAUCUGAGAAUGAAACGACCAUAAAACCACUGUCUCUAUGUAAAAUCAUGUUUUGAAGAUAAAGGAUACAACUAUACAAGCAAAUGGCAAGAAUUUUUUGUCAAAAAAAAAAAUGGCAAGAAUCAAGACGCAUGUUUAGUUGGAUACGGCAAAAAUACUACGAUUCUUACAGUGUGUCAUGUCUUUUUCCAAAUGUUAAGGUUAGGCAAAAAGUAUAAAAUAUUUUAAUCAAAAUUUUAACAAAUAUGAAUAUUGUGCUGGAUGAUUUACCUUUCAAAUAGUUUCUUACAAAACAUGCAAAAGAAAUGAUUGGAGAAUAUUUCUCUAUUUGUGUCUCUAUUUGGGUCUCUUAUAAGUUAUAAGCCUAACUUAUUAACUAGAAGUUUCGAAACAAAUCAGAUAUUGUUGGUAAAAGACAUGACCGUCAAUUCGAUAGUCCACACCAAACAAAUUCUGGAGGAACCAUGCAUGUGGGUUUGACCAAGUCAUGAUUUUUUUUUUUUUUUUUGACAUAACCAAGUCAUGAUUUUAAAGGCAAAAUUUUAAUUUUCAUCACAUUUAACAUAUGAAGUCCUUUCACAAUCAAAUCUGAUGUGUUAGUAUUGCUUAGUGCCACGACUUGUACAAAAUGAAUUAUAACUCUUCAUCAGAUUUGAUUGU